UCUCCGUUGGUGAACCAGCGGAGGGAUCAUUAAAAAUGCGUCCAAAAGACCUAAAACCUACCGUGCUCCCCUACGUGGACAUCAGGAAAGCCCUCCGGGGCAUAGGAAAUCUGAGAAGUUGAGAACUGCGCCCCGGCGCAUGACUAAACAAAAAAUUACAACCCAUAACAAUGGAUCUCUUGACUCUGGCAUCGAUGAAGAACGCAGC
rnacentral:misc_RNA from 1 species